CCCGAGGCUGGGUCACGAGUUGAAGAAACAGCACUUUCACCCUUUAUCUGCCCACCGCCUCAGCUUCCCAGGGCACACACGUGCCUUUCCAUACGACAUAAGGAGUCUGACUGCCCUGAGGCUGCCAUGCCGUGAGGAAGCCCAAGCGAAGCAUGUAGACAGGCAAUGUGGAAGACCACCAAGGUGCUAGAUAGGUGAGGGAAGCCUUCUAGAACCUUCUGGCCCAGCCUGGCAGCCAACUGAAUACAGUCAAAAAAGUGACCCCAGUCAGUGCUACAUGACUACGGCAGCUCACAGAAUUGUGAGAAAUAACAGAUCAUUGUUUGGGGUCAUGGAUUGUGCAACAAUAUGCAACAGAAGCAUUUGGGAUCUGGCAGGUAGUGUCCUUUGAGCCCCUGGGAAUGUGGAAAAGGUGACACAUCUCCAUGUCACUUUCCAGAGAAUGAUGUGAUCAAUGAAGACGAAGUGGCACUUCUCAAGGCCACACUCUGAUCUCGAUACUUCAUCAGCAACAAGCUAUUGAGGGAGAAGGAUGAGUGGGGGAAGAGGAGAUCGAGCAGGGAAAUGGAUGAGGGUUCCCUAGAGACUAGGGCUUUGGUCCUAGGGAAAGGACUGGAAGAAUAGCAGCGCAUUCUGUGUUGAAUUCGAGAGAACUCCGAGAUUCCCAGGAAGCUGGAGAGGUGUAAACACUGGAGCCUCAAGCCCAGAAUGACUCAGGGAAGACUGUCCCAGAAUGUCCCUGAGCAUCAUGUAUUCCUCCCUACUGACCCAGGGAUCCCCAUGCUGGAAACCCCAGCUGCAGAAUGGAGCUAAUAAUAAUGCCAAGCCCAGUUUGGAGGACGAGAUGGCGUUCAAGUCCUGGCGGGGACUCCACAAGUGCCGGGCUUGGCUUGAUAGGCUUGAGCUGUAUCAGCCUUUUCUCUUUGAAGGAGCCUCGUAUUUACUGAAGUUCUGGAACCACUGGGCCUGGAGGUGUGGAAGCAAGUGCACUUCCCGGUGCAGAGACCAGCCAGCACGAAGGGAAGGUGAGGGGAGGCAGAGGAGCUACAGGGGCUCGGUUUCACAGAGCCAGGCAGGCCCAGGUGGUAAGGGACCUGGCUGCCAGGCCAAGGAGUUUGGACUUUGGCCUUGGAGAUGUAAAGGUGGGCUUCAGGAAGCCUCUGCAGAAGGCUGCCCUGUUAUUGGUGAUUCAAAGAAAAAAAUAAACCACACUGCUAGGGAAGGGCUGGCCUUUGGUAGAGGUCUGGGCAGCAGCCAGGCACGAGGGCCGCCUGCCUGGGUGUGGCUGGGCACCAGGAGUCCCGUGCUUCCUGCCCAGAGGCCUCCUCCCUCCUUAGCCCUUGACACCCAGCUCACUCUGGUAGUUUCCAGAGAAGCCCCAAGGCCUCUCCUACCCCCACGGGCGGAGACGCUGGGAGCUGCAUGCAUAGGAGGAGCCUUGCCUUGGUCUAGGAGUCUGCGUCAUGCAGAGGGGCCGCCAUGCUCCUCCUGUCCCAAGGGAGGGAGACUGUUUUGGGUUCAGAACCAGGCUGGAUGGAUUCCUUUUCCAGAGGAGCUUCUGUCGGCCGCCCUGCGGCUCCUCUGCUCCGGGGAGGCCACGCGGGCCCUAACCUGCCUCCUCACCACAAGCUACAAGCCUCAUCAGAUGGUCCCUUCAAGGCCAAGUGCUCUGUUGCUCUGCGCAGGCCUGCCUGGGCCUGC
ensembl:lncRNA